rnacentral:rRNA from 1 species
UGGUGCAUGGUUGUCGUCAGCUCGUGUCGUGAGAUGUUGGGUUAAGUCCCGCAACGAGCGCAACCCUUGUCUUUAGUUGCCAUCAUUAAGUUGGGCACUCUAGAGAGACUGCCAGGGAUAACCUGGAGGAAGGUGGGGAUGACGUCAAAUCAUCAUGCCCCUUAUGCUUAGGGCUACACACGUGCUACAAUGGGUAGUACAGAGGGUUGCCAAGCCGUAAGGUGGAGCUAAUCCCUUAAAGCUACUCUCAGUUCGGAUUGUAGGCUGAAACUCGCCUACAUGAAGCUGGAGUUACUAGUAAUCGCAGAUCAGAAUGCUGCGGUGAAUGCGUUCCCGGGUCUUGUACACACCGCCCGUCACACCACGGGAGUUGGAGACGCCCGAAGCCGAUUAUCUAACCUUUUGGAAGAAGUCGUCGAAGGUGGAAUCAAUAACUGGGGUGAAGUCGUAACAAGGUAGCCGUAUCGGAAGGUGCGGCUGGAUCACCUCCUUU